rnacentral:rRNA from 1 species
UACGUAGGGUGCGAGCGUUGUCCGGAAUUACUGGGCGUAAAGAGCUCGUAGGUGGUUUGUCGCGUUGUUCGUGAAAACUCACAACUCAAUUGUGGGCGUGCGGGCGAUACGGGCAGACUGGAGUACUGCAGGGGAGACUGGAAUUCCUGGUGUAGCGGUGGAAUGCGCAGAUAUCAGGAGGAACACCGGUGGCGAAGGCGGGUCUCGUGGGCAGUAACUGACGCUGAGGAGCGAAAGCGUGGGGAGCGAACAGGA